UUGCCUGACGGCAAUAGCGCUGUGGAACCACCUGAUCCCAUGCCGAACUCAGAAGUGAAACGCAGUAGCGCCGAUGGUAGUGUGGCAUUCGCCAUGCGAGAGUAGGACACUGUCAGGCACC
rnacentral:rRNA from 1 species